UACAAAUCACAGAGGACGGUGGUAAAGAUGAAGAUCCAGUCCAGCGCAAACAUGAACGAUCCAGCCCUCAGUGCCGACCUACUGCAGCAGUUGCGUACGGCACUCCGCAAUCAGGGAGUGAUCGACUUCAAACUGACCUGGACGAAACUUCCAGUGAAACAGAAACGUAGCUGUGACGUUUAAAGAUUCGUGUUGACGCUGUGAGAGAAACUCCCAGAAAGAUGCAGGACAGCAUCACUCAAGAGUUAGUGAUAAAGUGAUUAUAGCACUGAAGUUUAGUGAAGAAACAAUAGAAGAAACUGCAUUUUAUACUAUUUUAUAAUAUUUAUUUUCCAUUUAUUCUCUCCCAUAACAAUGAAUGUUGUCAUUGUUCUUGUACUGCUAUACAUAAUGGAUAUAAUAUUUAUGGAUAAGAACAUAAUGGUCAAUAUAUACAUAAAUUACAAAUACAGUAAUAUUAAAAAAUAGAGUAUAAACAAAUGAAUGAAACAUUGAAUUGAUCUGAACAGUUCUUGACCUCGCACAAGCAUACAGAAGUGAAAUAUGGCUUUAAAAAACAAU